rnacentral:rRNA from 1 species
GAUGAACGCUAGCGGCAGGCUUAAUACAUGCAAGUCGAGGGGCAGCAUGACUGUAGCAAUACAGUUGAUGGCGACCGGCAAACGGGUGCGGAACACGUACAGAACCUUCCUUCGAGCGGGGAAUAGCCCAGAGAAAUUUGGAUUAAUACCCCAUAGUAUAUUAGAGUGGCAUCACUUUGAUAUUAAAGAUUUAUCACUUGAAGAUGGCUGUGCGGCUGAUUAGGUAGUUGGCGGGGUAACGGCCCACCAAGCCUUCGAUCAGUAACUGGUGUGAGAGCACGACCAGUCACACGGGCACUGAGACACGGGCCCGACUCCUACGGGAGGCAGCAGUAAGGAAUAUUGGUCAAUGGACGAAAGUCUGAACCAGCCAUGCCGCGUGGAGGAUGAAGGUUCUCUGGAUUGUAAACUUCUUUUAUAUGGGACGAAAAAAGGGUUUUCUAACUCGUCUGACGGUACCAUAUGAAUAAGCACCGGCUAACUCCGUGCCAGCAGCCG